rnacentral:misc_RNA from 1 species
GAUGAAGAACGCAGCGAAAUGCGAUACGUAGUGUGAAUUGCAGAAUUCAGUGAAUCAUCGGAUCUUUGAACGCACAUUGCACCUCUCGGUAUUCCGGGAGGUAUGCCUGUUCGAGCGUCAUUUGUACCCUCAAGCUCUGCUUGGUGUUGGGUGUUUGUUCCGCCUCUGUGUGUGAACUCGCCUCAAAACAAUUGGCAGCCGGCGUACUUGUUUCGGAGCGCAGCACAUUUUGCGAUCCAGAUCAACGUACAGCGGCAUCCAAGAAGCCUUAUUUAACGCUCUUGACCUCGGAUCAGGUAGGGAUACCCGCUGAACUUAAGCAUAUCAAUAAGCGGAGGA